GUGUCAAUGGCGUCCUAAAAUGUUUGGGGAUAAUGCUGUUCUAUGACGGAUUGAAGGUCGUUUUAUUUCGCGAACGAAGACGGAAAUGUUUUACCUGAGGAUUGGAGCAGGGUUUUAGUGUUUUCUCUUGCCAUUUGAAGCGAGAAACACAUUUUACUGUGAAGAAAUGAACCGACUGGAACCGAAUGCGGUUUGAUGCUUCUUGCCUGAAACGUGCUAAAGGAAGGUCAAACAAUCACAGGCCUCGGAAAAUACCCUUCUGUGUGUCACACAAUAUGAGUGUCGGCACGCCGCAGUGGGUUUGGCUUUAAUCUCGGGCUGAUAUCAGGUUGAACACACUCUCUGUACUCCGCUGUGAUCUCUGCGAGCCGUCACACUGACAGAUGGUCAACCGGACCUUUCAUUGACCUCAACACCUGUAGCAUCACCUCACCUGUGCAAUGUGUUCAUCUACAGGUUACGGUUGGCGUCAUCAUUAGCAGGUCUGUGUCAGCCAGCAGCCCAGAGGGAGUUCAGAGAGGACCUGAGCUGUGAGAUGAGGAUCAGCUUGAGUGCGUGUCUGCAGAGUGUGUUAUAAUGGCAUGUGAGGACAUGUUGGUGCAGAAAUCAGCUGGCAGCAUCAGAUGCUGGAGGAGAACCUGCCGCAGGAAUCCCCCGACAGGAGCCACUCAUUAUUCACUCGGUCUCGUCUUUUGUCUCUGUGGCUGAAGCUGUCAAACUUGUCACUGGCAGGAGAGCGCUGUUAUUCCUCAGGGAUCCUCUUUCUCUCGCUCUCUCGGAAAUGAAAAUCACUGCCAUGUGAAAUGGGAUCGUUGUUGCCCGUUGCUGCUUCACUGAAGGAGAGAUGCUCGUACUCCAGUCAUUUUUAAUCAGCACAACAGCCUGUGAGA
rnacentral:lncRNA from 1 species